GAUGAACGCUGGCGGCGUGCUUAACACAUGCAAGUCGAACGGGAAACCUUUUAUUGAAGCUUCGGCAGAUUUAGCUGGUUUCUAGUGGCGGACGGGUGAGUAACUCGUGGGUAACCUGCCUUAUACAGGGGGAUAACAACCAGAAAUGGUUGCUAAUACCGCAUAAGCGCACAGGACCGCAUGGUCCGGUGUGAAAAACUCCGGUGGUAUAAGAUGGACCCGCGUUGGAUUAGCUAGUUGGCAGGGUAACGGCCUACCAAGGCGACGAUCCAUAGCCGGCCUGAGAGGGUGAACGGCCACAUUGGGACUGAGACACGGCCCAGACUCCUACGGGAGGAAGCAGUGGGGAAUAUUGCACAAUGGGGGAAACCCUGAUGCAGCGACGCCGCGUGAAGGAAGAAGUAUCUCGGUAUGUAAACUUCUAUCAGCAGGGAAGAUAGUGACGGUACCUGACUAAGAAGCCCCGGCUAACUACGUG
rnacentral:rRNA from 1 species